rnacentral:rRNA from 1 species
CCUACGGGAGGCAGCAGUGGGGAAUAUUGCACAAUGGGCGCAAGCCUGAUGCAGCCGUGCCGCGUGUGUGAAGAAGGCCUUCGGGUUGUAAAGCACUUUCAGCGGGGAGGAAGGCGGUGAGGUUAAUAACCUCAUCGAUUGACGUUACCCGCAGAAGAAGCACCGGCUAACUCCGUGCCAGCAGCCGCGGUAAUACGGAGGGUGCAAGCGUUAAUCGGAAUUACUGGGCGCAAAGCGCACGCAGGCGGUCUGUCAAGUCGGAUGUGAAAUCCCCGGGCUCAACCUGGGAACUGCAUUCGAAACUGGCAGGCUAGAGUCUUGUAGAGGGGGGUAGAAUUCCAGGUGUAGCGGUGAAAUGCGUAGAGAUCUGGAGGAAUACCGGUGGCGAAGGCGGCCCCCUGGACAAAGACUGACGCUCAGGUGCGAAAGCGUGGGGAGCAAACAGGAUUAGAUACCCCAGUAGUC